GAACGCUAGCGGUUUGCCUAACACAUGCAAGUUGCACGGCGCCAUGCCUUUCGAGGAAUGGUGGAGUGGCGGACGGGUGAGGAACGCGUAAGGACCUGCCCCUGGGAGGGGGAUAACAGCUGGAAACGGCUGCUAAUACCCCAUAUCCUGAGGAGGGAAAGGAGAGAUCCGCCCAGGGAGGGGCUUGCGUCUGAUUAGCUAGUUGGGGGGGUAAUAGCCUCCCAAGGCAACGAUCAGUUGCUGGUCUGACAGGAUGAUCAGCCACACUGGGACUGAGACACGGCCCAGACUCCUACGGGAGGCAGCAGUGAGGAAUCUUCCGCAAUGGGCGAAAGCCUGACGGGGCAAUGCCGCGUGGAGGAUGAAGGCGCAAUGGGUCGUAAACUUCUUUAGAUCAGAGACGAAAAAAUGACGGUACCUGAAGAACUAAGCAUCGGCUAAACCCCGUGCCAGCAGCCGCGGUAAGACGGGGGAUGCGAGCGUUAUCCGGAAUGAUUGGGCGUAAAGGGUCCGCAGGUGGCCCGGUCAGUCCGCUGUCAAAACCUGGGGCUCAACCCUGGAGAGGCGGCGGAGACCACCGGGCUUGAGUCCGGUAGGGGCAGAGGGAAUUCCCGGUGGAGCGGUGAAAUGCGUAGAGAUCGGGAAGAACGCCAAGGGCGAAGGCACUCUGCUAGGCCUGAUUUCGCGACUGACACUCAGGGACGAGAGCCAGGGGAGCGAAUGGGAUUAGAUACCCCAGUAGUCCUGGCCGUAAACGAUGGAUACCAAGCCCUGCGCGUAUCGACCCGGGCAGGGCUGUAGCUAACGCAUGAAGUAUCCCGCCUGGGGAGUACGCUCGCA
rnacentral:rRNA from 1 species